CUAGUUGGUUAAUACUCAAGCAUUUCUAUUUACAGAAUUUUGUGUUAUAAUAUAAACUUCACACAGAAAUGCUAGAAUCGUCCAUAGAUUUGGCACUGCCAUUACAGCUAAAGACUUGAUAACACCACCUGUUCAAGUAGAGCACACCCAACUGCUAAUCAAUGGGCAAUUUGUGGAUUCGGCAUCAGGGACAUCAGUAACAAUAGCAUUCAUGGCGUAAUUCCUUUAUUUUUGCCCCCCAGUGCAACCCAUAUAAACCUGGCAUUCAAACGGCUGAGACAGAAUAUUCCAUUCUCCCUAGCUUCCUUGAAAUAUCUCUGUUAUUUGUAAGUUCUUGCAAUGAGUGAGGUUUGUACAUACUGGCUUUUUUGGUUGCAUUAUUUAGUACCAUAUGAGCAGCAGCACCAA